GCCAAACAAACCAAUAUAUCCAAAUAUAAAAUGUAAAAAAUAAAUUCAUACCUUUUCACAUAACAAUUUUGAAAAUAAUAUAUAAUUGAAAAAGGUGUAUCCCACAUGAAUUGUAACAUUCAUCAAAUAAAAGGUAUACUUUAUAUAUAGUUUAUUCUAAUUAAUGUGUAUAUUUUAUUUAAUGAAUACUACAAUUAACGAUAAAUCAGGUUUAAACAUAGAUUUUUUCACUGAUUUUUUUUUCACUAAUUUUUUUUUUCCUUUUCUUUCUUUUUCCUUGUGAAGAGAAUAUUAGAAUUGUAGAUCCAUACUUAUUAUUGCAUUUUUCCCGCUUGAAUUAGAAUUCAAA
rnacentral:misc_RNA from 1 species